rnacentral:rRNA from 1 species
AACGAACGCUGGCGGCAGGCUUAACACAUGCAAGUCGAACGCCCCGCAAGGGGAGUGGCAGACGGGUGAGUAACGCGUGGGAAUCUACCCAGUUCUACGGAACAACUGAGGGAAACUUCAGCUAAUACCGUAUACGCCCCAAGGGGGAAAGAUUUAUCGGAGUUGGAUGAGCCCGCGUUAGAUUAGCUAGUUGGUGGGGUAACGGCCUACCAAGGCGACGAUCUAUAGCUGGUCUGAGAGGAUGAUCAGCCACACUGGGACUGAGACACGGCCCAGACUCCUACGGGAGGCAGCAGUGGGGAAUAUUGGACAAUGGGCGCAAGCCUGAUCCAGCCAUGCCGCGUGAGUGAUGAAGGCCUUAGGGUUGUAAAGCUCUUUCAGUAGGGACGAUAAUGACGGUACCCGGAGAAGAAGCCCCGGCUAACUUCGUGCCAGCAGCCGCGGUAACAC